rnacentral:rRNA from 1 species
UUGGAGGGCAAGUCUGGUGCCAGCAGCCGCGGUAAUUCCAGCUCCAAUAGCGUAUAUUAAAGUUGUUGCAGCUAAAAAGCUCGUAGUUGAAUUUCGGGAUCAAUACGUCGGUCGUGCUUUCGGGUACGUACUGGCGUCAUUGGUUUCUCCUUUCUGACGAACCAUGAUGUCAUUAAUUUGGUGUUAUGGGGAGUUAGGACUGUUACUUUGAAAAAAUUAGAGUGUUUAAAGCAGGCAUUAGCUUGAAUACAUUAGCAUGGAAUAAUGAAAUAGGACGUUCAUCCUAUUUUGUUGGUUUCUAGGAUCAACGUAAUGAUUAAUAGGGAUAGUUGGGGGCAUUAGUAUUCAAUUGUCAGAGGUGAAAUUCUUGGAUUUAUUGAAGACUAACUACUGCGAAAGCAUUUGCCAAGGAUGUUUUCAUUAAUCAAGAACGAAAGUUAGGGGAUCGAAGACGAUCAGAUACCGUCGUAGUCUUAACCAUAAACUAUGCCGACUAGGGAUCGGAUGAUGUUAAUUUUUUAAUGACUCAUUCGGCGCCUUACGGGAAAC